UACACUCCUGCGGGAGGCAGCAGUGGGGAAUAUUGGACAAUGGGCGCAAGCCUGAUCCAGCCAUGCCGCGUGAGUGAUGAAGGCCCUAGGGUUGUAAAGCUCUUUCACCGGUGAAGAUAAUGACGGUAACCGGAGAAGAAGCCCCGGCUAACUUCGUGCCAGCAGCCGCGGUAAUACGAAGGGGGCUAGCGUUGUUCGGAUUUACUGGGCGUAAAGCGCACGUAGGCGGACUAUUAAGUCAGGGGUGAAAUCCCGGGGCUCAACCCCGGAACUGCCUUUGAUACUGGUAGUCUUGAGUUCGAGAGAGGUGAGUGGAAUUCCGAGUGUAGAGGUGAAAUUCGUAGAUAUUCGGAGGAACACCAGUGGCGAAGGCGGCUCACUGGCUCGAUACUGACGCUGAGGUGCGAAAGCGUGGGGAGCAAACAGGAUUAGAAACCCGUGUAGUCCCAUG
rnacentral:rRNA from 1 species